AGAAGUGUGAUGUAUAUAGUUUCGGAGUAGUGGCAUUAGAAACAAUUAUGGGAAAGCAUCCAAGGGAGCUCAUCUCAUCCUUAACAUCAUUAGUUGGCCAAAAGAUUCUACUAAGGGACAUGUUAGACCCAUGCCUCACCUUUCCAUCAGACCAAAAUGUUGCAAAGGAUGUGGUUUCUAUUGUGAGAAUAGCACUUGCAUGUUUACGCAAUCACCCACAAUCCCGCCCAAAUAUGCAUCAAGUAUCAAAAAAGCUACUUUUUCUCCAACCAUCAUUUGUGGAGAAUUUUCAUACAAUUACUGUAGGUGACCUAAAUGCUAUUGAAAUACAAUAAUUAUGAUCGACGGCUCAUUUGACCAACAGGGGACUGACGCGAUUCGUUUAAGACCACAAUCAAAAUUAAACAAUAAAUCUCAAGGGAUGGCAUGGCUAAAGUCCUCACUGUGUAGACCAUAGAGAGAUCUUUAUUUCUUUGGAGAGGGAAUAUGAAUAAUUCAAGGUUGUAAGGUGUUCAGACGCUGGAUAAAAAAAAAAAAGAAAAAAAAAGAAAGAGGAAGUCAUUUGCGACUUCCGCAUCAGAAGAAAGAGAGGAGAAGGAGAGGGAGAGACGUAUUUAUUGUAAAAGAGGUUCA